rnacentral:misc_RNA from 1 species
UUAACAAUUUUUCUUUAUGAAAACUCAGACUGCAACCUUCAGACAGUGUUCAGUGUUGGUGUCCCCGGCGGGCACGGGCCCGGGGGCAGGGUAGCCCCCCGGCGGCCGGCAGCCCCCUCCCCAGGAGGGGGGGGACAGCCAAGCGGGCCCGCCGAAGCAACAGGGUAUGAAUAGACACGGAUGGGAGGUUGGACCCAGAGGGUCCGCACUCGGUAAUGAUCCUUCCGCAGGUUCACCUACGGAAA